GGGAAAAAAGGGAGGAGAGGAGACACCCCGAAGGAGUGUUUUUCAUUUAUUCCCCCGGGGUGGGGGAACUUUUGGGGGGGGGUUAUUGGGAAAUGGGGUAUAUACAAAGGUUUAAUUUCCGAAAGAACCGAAAAGUUGGGACCGGGGUAAAAAAAUUUGGUUAUGUGUUUCCCGGUGUUUUAUAAGGGGCGGGCCCUCCUUUAAAAGGGAAAAAAGGAUUUCCCGGGAAAACACGGCGAUAUCCCCCCCAAGGGUUUCAUUGGAAGGGGGGUUUUGGCCACCUCGAAUUCGGCUUAUCCCUUCCUGGGGUGAAGUAGGUCCCCAAGGGUAUGGCUUUUCGCCAUUUAAAUGGUACGCAAGUGGGUUUAAAACGUUGUAAGACAUUUCGGCCCCUUCUGCCGGGGGCGUAGAAGAAUGGGUGGGGCUGUUCUUAGUACGAGAGGACCGGAGUGGACGCACCACGGGUGUUCCGGUUGUGUCGCCAGACGCAUUCCGGGGUAGCUAAGUGCGGAAGAGAUAAGUGCUGAAAGCAUCUAAGCACGAAACUUGCCAAGAGAUGAGUUCUCCCAAUCAAAGAGAUUGUAAGGGUUGUUGUAGACUACGACGUAGAUAGGUCUGGUGUGUAAGUGUAGUGAUACAUUGAGCUAACAGAUACUAAUUGCCCGAGAGGCUUAA
rnacentral:rRNA from 1 species